rnacentral:rRNA from 1 species
UUAAAGUCUAACCUGCCCACUGAAUUUUUAAAUGGCCGCAGUAUUUUGACUGUGCAAAGGUAGCAUAAUCAUUAGUCUUUUAAUUGAAGGCUUGUAUGAAUGGUUGGACGAAAUAUUAACUGUUUCAAAUUAAAUUUUUAUAGAAUUUUAUUUUUUAGUCAAAAAGCUAAAAUUUAAUUAAAAGACGAGAAGACCCUAUAAAUCUUUAUAAUUUUAUAAUAUUAAUUUUAUAGAUUAUUUUUGUUAUUAUUAAAUAAAUUAUUUUAUUGGGGUGAUAUUAAAAUUUAAAAAACUUUUAAUUUUUAUAAAUCAUUAAUUUAUGAAUAAAUGAUCCUAUAUUAUGGAUUAAUAGAUUAAGUUACUUUAGGGAUAACAGCGUAAUUUUUUUGGAGAGUUCAUAUCGAUAAAAAAGAUUGCGACCUCGAUGUUGGAUUAAGAUAUAAUUUUAGGUGCAGAAGCUUAAAUUUUGAGUCUGUUCGACUUUUAAAUUCUUACAUGAUCUGAGUUCAAACCGGCGUAAGCCAGGUUGGUUUCUAUCUUUAGUAAAUUAAAAUAUUUUAGUACGAAAGGACCAAAUAUUUAAAUAAUUAUAUUUUAUUAAAUGAAUGUAAAUAAUUUUU